UUAGCCGGCGGACCGGUGAGUACACGCUGGGUAACCUGCCCAUAAGACUGGGAUAACUCCGGGAAACCGGGGCUAAUACCGGAUAACAUUUUGAACCGCAUGGUUCGAAAUUGAAAGGCGGCUUCGGCUGUCACUUAUGGAUGGACCCGCGUCGCAUUAGCUAGUUGGUGAGGUAACGGCUCACCAAGGCAACGAUGCGUAGCCGACCUGAGAGGGUGAUCGGCCACACUGGGACUGAGACACGGCCCAGACUCCUACGGGAGGCAGCAGUAGGGAAUCUUCCGCAAUGGACGAAAGUCUGACGGAGCAACGCCGCGUGAGUGAUGAAGGCUUUCGGGUCGUAAAACUCUGUUGUUAGGGAAGAACAAGUGCUAGUUGAAUAAGCUGGCACCUUGACGGUACCUAACCAGAAAGCCACGGCUAACUACGUGCCAGCAGCCGCGGUAAUACGUAGGUGGCAAGCGUUAUCCGGAAUUAUUGGGCGUAAAGCGCGCGCAGGUGGUUUCUUAAGUCUGAUGUGAAAGCCCACGGCUCAACCGUGGAGGGUCAUUGGAAACUGGGGAGACUUGAGUGCAGAAGAGGAAAGUGGAAUUCCAUGUGUAGCGGUGAAAUGCGUAGAGAUAUGGAGGAAACCAGUGGCGAAGGCGACUUUCUUGUCUGUAACUGACACUGAGGCGCGAAAGCGUGGGGGAGCAAACAGGAUUAGAUACCCUGGUUGUCCACGCCGUAA
rnacentral:rRNA from 1 species